rnacentral:rRNA from 1 species
CCUACGGGAGGCAGCAGUGGGGAAUUUUGCGCAAUGGGGGCAACCCUGACGCAGCAACGCCGCGUGAGUGAUGAAGGCCUUCGGGUCGUAAAGCUCUGUCAGAGGGGAAGAAAUGCAGGUGGUGAACAACCAUUCUGUUUGACGGUACCCUCAAAGGAAGCACCGGCUAACUCCGUGCCAGCAGCCGCGGUAAUACGGAGGGUGCGAGCGUUGUUCGGAAUUAUUGGGCGUAAAGCGCGUGUAGGCGGUUUGUUAAGUCUGAUGUAAAAGCCCCGGGCUCAACCGGGGAAGUGCAUUGGAUACUGGCAGACUUGAGUACGGGAGAGGAGAGUGAAAUCCCCAGUGUAGGAGUAAAAUCCGUAGAUAUUGGGAGGAACACCGGGGGCGAGGGCGGUCCCCUGGCCCGUUACUGACGCUCAGGCACGAAAGCGUGGGGAGCAAACAGGUUUAGAUCCCUUGGUAGU